rnacentral:rRNA from 1 species
ACGGGAGGCAGCAGUGGGGGAUAUUGCACAAUGGGGGAAACCCUGAUGCAGCGACGCCGCGUGAGUGAAGAAGUAUUUCGGUAUGUAAAGCUCUAUCAGCAGGAAAGAUAAUGACGGUACCUGACUAAGAAGCACCGGCUAAAUACGUGCCAGCAGCCGCGGUAAUACGUAUGGUGCAAGCGUUAUCCGGAUUUACUGGGUGUAAAGGGAGCGCAGACGGCAUGGCAAGCCAGAUGUGAAAGGUGGGGGCUCAACCCCCAAGCUGCAUUUGGAACUGUCAAGCUAGAGUAUCGGAGAGGUAAGUGGAAUUCCUAGUGUAGCGGUGAAAUGCGUAGAUAUUAGGAAGAACACCAGUGGCGAAGGCGGUUAGCUGGACAAUAACUGACGCUGAGGCGCGAAAGCGUGGGUAGCAAACAGGAUUAGAUACCCUGGUA